rnacentral:rRNA from 1 species
UACGAAGGGUGCAAGCGUUACUCGGAAUUACUGGGCGUAAAGCGUGCGUAGGUGGUUCGUUAAGUCUGAUGUGAAAGCCCUGGGCUCAACCUGGGAAUAGCAUUGGAAACUGGCGACCUAGAGUGCGGUAGAGGGCAGUGGAAUUCCCGGUGUAGCAGUGAAAUGCGUAGAGAUCGGGAGGAACAUCUGUGGCGAAGGCGACUGCCUGGACCAGCACUGACACUGAGGCACGAAAGCGUGGGGAGCAAACAGG